UACGUCGUACGGGAGAAAGCAGGGGACCUUCGGGCCUUGCGCUAUCAGAUGAGCNUAGGUCGGAUUAGCUAGUUGGUGAGGUAAUGGCUCACCAAGGCGACGAUCCGUAACUGGUAUGAGAGGAUGAUCAGUCACACUGGAAGUGAGACACGNUCCAGACUCUUACGGGAGGCAGCAGUGGGGAAUAUUGGACAAUGGGCGAAAGCCUGAUCCAGCCAUGCCGCGUGUGUGAAGAAGGUCUUCGGAUUGUAAAGCACUUUAAGCUGGGAGGAAGGGCAUUAACUUAAUACGUUAGUGUUUUGACGUUACCGACAGAAUAAGCAC
rnacentral:rRNA from 1 species